AGAGUUUGAUCCUGGCUCAGAUUGAACGCUGGCGGCAUGCCUUACACAUGCAAGUCGAACGGUAACAGGUUAAGCUGACGAGUGGCGAACGGGUGAGUAAUAUAUCGGAACGUGUCCAGUUGUGGGGGAUAACUACUCGAAAGAGUGGCUAAUACCGCAUGAGACCUGAGGGUGAAAGCGGGGGAUUGUAAGACCUCGCGCAAUUGGAGCGGCCGAUAUCAGAUUAGCUAGUUGGUGGGGUAAAAGCCCACCAAGGCAACGAUUUGUAGCUGGUCUGAGAGGAUGACCAGCCACAUUGGGACUGAGAUACGGCCCAGACUCCUAUGGGAGGCAGCAGUGGGGAAUUUUGGAUAAUGGACGAAAGUCUGAUCCAGCCAUGCCGCGUGCGGGAAGAAGGCCUUUGGGUUGUAAACCGCUUUUGUCAGGGAAGAAACGGCGCGCUUUAAUAUAGUGUGCUAAUGACGGUACCUGAAGAAUAAGCACCGGUUAACUACGUGCCAGUAGUUGUGGUAAUACGUAGGGUGCAAGCGUUAAUCGGAAUUACUGGGCGUAAAGCGUGCGCAGGCGGUUAUGCAAGACAGAUGUGAAAUCCCUGGGUUUAACCUGGGAAUUGCAUUUGUGACUGCAUAGCUAGAGUACGGUAGAGGGGGAUGGAAUUCCGCGUGUAGCAGUGAAAUGCGUAGAUAUGCGGAGGAAUAUCGAUGGUGAAGGCAAUCCCCUGGACCUGUACUGACGCUCAUGCACGAAAGCGUGGGGAGUAAACAGGAUUAGAUAUCCUGGUAGUCCACGCCCUAAACGAUGUCAACUGGUUGUUGGGAGGGUUUCUUCUCAGUAACGAAGCUAAUGCGUGAAGUUGACCGCCUGGGGAGUACGGCCGCAAGGUUGAAACUCAAAGGAAUUGACGGGGACCCGCACAAGCGGUGGAUGAUGUGGUUUAAUUCGAUGCAAUGCGAAAAACCUUACCUACCCUUGACAUGUCAGAGAUCCCGAAGAGAUUUGGGAGUGCUCGAAAGAGAAUCUGAACACAGGUGCUGUAUGGCCGUCGUCAGCUCGUGUCGUGAGAUGUUGGGUUAAGUCCCGCAACGAGCGCAACCCUUGCCAUUAGUUGCUACGAAAGGGCACUCUAAUGAGACUGCCGGUGAUAAACCGGAGGAAGGUGGGGAUGACGUCAGGUCAUCAUGGCCCUUAUGGGUAGGGCUACACACGUCAUACAAUGGCCGGUACAGAGGGCUGCCAACCCGCGAGGGGGAGCUAAUCCCAGAAAACCGGUCGUAGUCCGGAUCGUAGUCUGCAACUCGACUGCGUGAAGUCGGAAUCGCUAGUAAUCGCGGAUCAGCUUGCCGCGGUGAAUACGUUCCCGGGUCUUGUACACACCGCCCGUCACACCAUGGGAGCGGGUUCUGCCAGAAGUAGUUAGCCUAACCGUAAGGAGGGCGAUUACCAUGGCAGGGUUCGUGACUGGGGUGAAGUUGAAGCAAGGUA
rnacentral:rRNA from 1 species